GAUGAACGCUGGCGGCGUGCCUAAUACAUGCAAGUCGAGCGAACGGACGAGAAGCUUGCUCCUCUGAUGUUAGCGGCGGACGGGUGAGUAACACGUGCAUAACCUACCUCUAAGACUGGGAUAACUUCGGGAAACCGGAGCUAAUACCGGAUAAUAUUUUGAACCGCAUGGUUCAAAAGUAAAAGACGGCUUUGCCGUCACUUAUAGAUGGAUUCGCGCUGCAUUAGCUAGUUGGUAAGGUAACGGCUUACCAAGGCAACGAUGCAUAGCCGACCUGAGAGGGUGAUCGGCCACACUGGAACUGAGACACGGUCCAGACUCCUACGGGAGGCAGCAGUAGGGAAUCUUCCGCAAUGGGCGAAAGCCUGACGGAGCAACGCCGCGUGAGUGAUGAAGGUCUUCGGAUCGUAAAGCUCUGUUAUUAGGGAAGAACAUAUGUGUAAGUAACUGUGCACAUCUUGACGGUACCUAAUCAGAAAGCCACGGCUAACUACGUG
rnacentral:rRNA from 1 species